rnacentral:rRNA from 1 species
AGCGAACGCUGGCGGCGUGCCUAACACAUGCAAGUCGAACGUGAAAAGGGAAACCUGAGUAAAGUGGCGUACGGGUGAGUAACGCGUAGGUAAUCUACCCCAGAAUCUGGAAUAACCUGCCGAAAGGCGGGCUAAUACUGGAUAGAGCGAGGGAACUCGUAAGAGAGUUUUUCGGGAAAGGGAGCCCGCAAGGGCCCUCGUUCUGGGAUGAGCCUGCGUCUCAUUAGCUAGUUGGUAAGGUAACGGCUUACCAAGGCGAUGAUGAGUAGCUGGUCUGAGAGGAUGAUCAGCCACACUGGAACUGAAACACGGUCCAGACUCCUACGGGAGGCAGCAGUGGGGAAUCUUGCGCAAUGGACGGAAGUCUGACGCAGCCACGCCGCGUGAGUGAAGAAGGCCGUCGGGUUGUAAAGCUCUGUCGGAUGGGACGAACAUCUUCAUAGUGAAUAGCUAUGAGGACUGACGGUACCAUCAAAGGAAGCACCGGCUAACUCCGUG